CUCUUCGCAUCCUGGGGGUGGAGUCGGUCCCAGGGGGUGGGCUGUUCGCCCAAUAAGGCGGUACGCGAGCUGGGUUCAGAACUUCGUGAGCCGGUUCGGUCCCUCUCCGUCGUGGGCGUAGGAAUUGUGAGAGGAGCGGUCCUUAGUACGAGAGGGCCGGGAUGGCCAUCCCUGUGGUUUACCAGUUGUCGUGCCUACGGCAUGGCUGGGUAGCUAUGUGUGGACGGGAUAAGUGCUGA
rnacentral:rRNA from 1 species